UGGGGAAUAUUGCACAAUGGGCGCAAGCCUGAUGCAGCCAUGCCGCGUGUAUGAAGAAGGCCUACGGGUUGUAAAGUACUUUCAGCGGGGAGGAAGGCGAUAAGGUUAAUAACCUUGUCGAUUGACGUUACCCGCAGAAGAAGCACCGGCUAACUCCGUGCCAGCAGCCGCGGUAAUACGGAGGGUGCAAGCGUUAAUCGGAAUUACUGGGCGUAAAGCGCACGCAGGCGGUCUGUCAAGUCGGAUGUGAAAUCCCCGGGCUCAACCUGGGAACUGCAUUCGAAACUGGCAGGCUAGAGUCUUGUAGAGGGGGGUAGAAUUCCAGGUGUAGCGGUGAAAUGCGUAGAGAUCUGGAGGAAUACCGGUGGCGAAGGCGGCCCCCUGGACAAAGACUGACGCUCAGGUGCGAAAGCGUGGGGAGCAAACA
rnacentral:rRNA from 1 species